rnacentral:rRNA from 1 species
AUGCACGCUGGCGGCGUGCCUAAUACCUGCAAGUCGAGCGAACGGACGAGAAGCUUGCUUUUCUGAUGUUAGCGGCGGACGGGUGAGUAACACGUGGAUAACCUACCUAUAAGACUGGGAUAACUUCGGGAAACCGGAGCUAAUACCGGAUAAUAUUUUGAACCGCAUGGUUCAAAAGUGAAAGACGGUCUUGCUGUCACUUAUAUAUGGAUCCGCGCUGCAUUAGCUAGUUGGUAAGGUAACGGCUUACCAAGGCAACGAUGCAUAGCCGACCUGAGAGGGUGAUCGGCCACACUGGAACUGAGACACGGUCCAGACUCCUACGGGAGGCAGCAGUAGGGAAUCUUCCGCAAUGGGCGAAAGCCUGACGGAGCAACGCCGCGUGAGUGAUGAAGGUCUUCGGAUCGUAAAACUCUGUUAUUAGGGAAGAACAUAUGUGUAAGUAACUGUGCACAUCUUGACGGUACCUAAUCAGAAAGCCACGGCUAACUACGUG